GUGCUGCUGCCCGGUGCGUGAUGGAUAACAAUAUCCCCGGGGCCUUAUCGAUUCCUAAGGGAGCUGUCCCUGACCGGACCCGUGGGUUCGGACAUACGGCGCCCACCUACGUUGUAGGUUCCCGGGAUCGACUAUCCCACGGCCAGGGUGGCACCUAG
rfam:Devosia sp. LC5 contig23, whole genome shotgun sequence.